rnacentral:rRNA from 1 species
GACAGAGGGUGCUAGCGUUGUUCGGAAUUACUGGGCGUAAAGGGCGCGUAGGCGGCCCGUUUAGUCGGGUGUGAAAUCCCGGGGCUCAACCCCGGAACUGCACUCGAUACUGGCGGGCUUGAGACCGGAAGAGGUGGGUGGAAUACCCAGUGUAGAGGUGAAAUUCGUAGAUAUUGGGUGGAACACCGGUGGCGAAGGCGGCUCACUGGUCCGGUUCUGACGCUGAGGCG